GCUGGGCCAAGUAUACACGAUUCUCACGGAUAAGACUGGGACUUUGAGAGUACGUAUGAUGUGCAGUAUAAUGUACGAGAGGCUGUCAAACUCUCAGAGUACGUAUGGUGAAGCGACACAGAAGCACAUAAAUGAUUACGCUGAUGCUGGCCUGAGGACACUAGUUCUUGCAUACCGUCAACUUGAGGAGAUCGAAUACACUAAAUUCGAAAGGAACUUCACAGCAGCUAAGAAUUCUGUCAGCGCUGAUCGGGAUGAGCUGAUUGACGAAGCGACAGAUUUGAUAGAGAGGGAUUUGAUUCUGUUUGGAGCCGCCGCCGUUGAGGACAAGCUGCAAAAGGGGGUACCUGACUCACUGACUGCACAAACUUGCUAAGGCCGGCAUCAAGAUAUGGGUGCUGACGGGCGACAAGACGGAGACCGCCCUCAACAUCGGAUAUGCCUGCAGUCUACUCAGACAAGGGAUGAAACAAAUAACCAUCACACUGGAUACACCAGAUAUCAUUGCCUUGGAGAAAGGUGGUGACAAAGGAGCCAUUAAUAAGGUAGAUAAAGUAUUGCAGAUUAUAGUUACCGAGUCCUCUGUCUAGUACACUGACCAAUUCUUAUGUAGUUUAUACUAUCUAUGUGUUCAUUUUCGGUUCUGUAGUGCAUUACGUUUGGUAACAAAUUAACUACAUAACUGCCUGCAUAUUGAUCAAACACUGGUUUGUUUCUCUUCUUUUUUGACAUGGAACA